rnacentral:rRNA from 1 species
AGAGUUUGAUCCUGGCUCAGAUUGAACGCUGGCGGCAGGCCUAACACAUGCAAGUCGAGCGGAUGAGAGGAGCUUGCUCCUGGAUUCAGCGGCGGACGGGUGAGUAAUGCCUAGGAAUCUGCCUGGUAGUGGGGGACAACGUUUCGAAAGGAACGCUAAUACCGCAUACGUCCUACGGGAGAAAGCAGGGGACCUUCGGGCCUUGCGCUAUCAGAUGAGCCUAGGUCGGAUUAGCCAGUUGGUGAGGUAAUGGCUCACCAAGGCGACGAUCCGUAACUGGUCUGAGAGGAUGAUCAGUCACACUGGAACUGAGACACGGUCCAGACUCCUACGGGAGGCAGCAGUGGGGAAUAUUGGACAAUGGGCGAAAGCCUGAUCCAGCCAUGCCGCGUGUGUGAAGAAGGUCUUCGGAUUGUAAAGCACUUUAAGUUGGGAGGAAGGGUUGUAGAUUAAUACUCUGCAAUUUUGACGUUACCGACAGAAUAAGCACCGGCUAACUCUGUGCCAGCAGCCGCGGUAAUACAGAGGGUGCAAGCGUUAAUCGGAAUUACUGGGCGUAAAGCGCGCGUAGGUGGUUUGUUAAGUUGGAUGUGAAAUCCCCGGGCUCAACCUGGGAACUGCAUCCAAAACUGGCAAGCUAGAGUAUGGUAGAGGGUGGUGGAAUUUCCUGUGUAGCGGUGAAAUGCGUAGAUAUAGGAAAGAACACCAGUGGGCGAAGCGACCACCUGAACUGAUACUGGACCUGAGGUGCGAAAGCGUGGGGAGCC